rnacentral:rRNA from 1 species
GAUGAACGCUGGCUACAGGCUUAACACAUGCAAGUCGUGGGGAAACGGCAUUAUGUGCUUGCACAUUCUGGACGUCGACCGGCGCACGGGUGAGUAUCGCGUAUCCAACCUGCCCCUUACUUGGGGAUACCCCGUCGAAAGACGGCCUAAUACCCGAUGUGUUUCAUUGACGGCAUCCGAUAUGAAACAAAGGUUUUUCCGGUAAGGGAUGGGGAUGCGUCUGAUUAGCUUGUUGGCGGGGCAACGGCCCACCAAGGCGACGAUCAGUAGGGGUUCUGAGAGGAAGGUCCCCACAUUGGAACUGAGACACGGUCCAAACUCCUACGGGAGGCAGCAGUGAGGAAUAUUGGUCAAUGGACGCAAGUCUGAACCAGCCAAGUAGCGUGCAGGAUGACGGCCCUAUGGGUUGUAAACUGCUUUUAUGUGGGAAUAAAGUGGCGCACGUGUGCGCCAUUGCAUGUACCUCAUGAAUAAGGACCGGCUAAUUCCGUGCCAGCAGCCGCGGUAAUACGGAAGGUCCGGGCGUUAUCCGGAUUUAUUGGGUUUAAAGGGAGUGUAGGCGGUCUGUUAAGCGUGUUGUGAAAUUUAGGUGCUCAACAUUUAACUUGCAGCGCGAACUGUCAGACUUGAGUACACGCAGCGCAGGCGGAAUUCAUGGUGUAGCGGUGAAAUGCUUAGAUAUCAUGAGGAACUCCGAUCGCGAAGGCAGCCUGCGGGAGUGUUACUGACGCUUAAGCUCGAAGGUGCGGGUAUCGAACAGG